rfam:Mycobacterium abscessus strain PAP053 genome assembly, contig: ERS075544SCcontig000013
CGCCCGUGCGCGGGAGAGUGUCAUGACGGCCAGCCAUGACCGCCGAAGGAGCAACACCUCUCCGUCAAUCUCUCAGGCCCCCGAACCGCCCGCGGCCC